CUGAUGAGAGUGGCGCACGGGUGAGUAACGCGUAUGCAACCUGCCUAUAACUGGAGAAUAGCCCCCGGAAACGGGGAUUAAUGUUCCAUAAUGUUCAGAGAUCGCAUGGUUUUUGGACUAAAGCUCCGGCGGUUAUAGAUGGGCAUGCGUGCCAUUAGCUAGUUGGUGAGGUAACGGCUCACCAAGGCUACGAUGGUUAGGGGGUCUUAAAGGAUGAUCCCCCACACUGGUACUGAGACACGGACAGACUCCUACGGGAGGCAGCAGUGAGGAAUAUUGGUCAAUGGGCGCAAGCCUGAACCAGCCAAGCCGCGUGAAGGAUGACGGCCCUAUGGGUUGUAAACUUCUUUUGUAUGGGAAGAACUCCCCGACGUGUCGGGGGCUGACUGUACUAUACGAAUAAGCAUCGGCUAACUCCGUGCCAGCAGCCGCGGUAAUACGGAGGAUGCAAGCGUUAUCCGGAUUCAUUAGGUAUAAAGGGUGCGUAGGCGGACUAAUAAGUCAGUGGUGAAAUACUACAGCUCAACUGUAGAACUGCCAUUGAUACUGUUAGUCUUGAGUACAAUUAAGGUAGGCGGAACGUGUGGUGUAGCGGUGAAAUGCUUAGAUAUCACACAGAACACCGAUUGCGAAGGCAGCUUACUAAACUGUAACUGACGCUGAUGCACGAAAGCAUGGGGAGCAAACAGGAUUAGAUACCCUGGUAGUCCAUGCUGUAAACGAUGAUCACUCGCUGUAUGUCCAUUAGGAUAUGUGGCCGAGCUAACGCAUUAAGUGAUCCACCUGGGGAGUACGGCGGCAACGC
rnacentral:rRNA from 1 species